rnacentral:hammerhead_ribozyme from 1 species
GCUCUGCUGAUGAGUCCCAAACAGGACGAAACAGCUGUCCAGUGU